GACGAACGCUGGCGGCGUGCUUAACACAUGCAAGUCGAACGAUGAAGAAGAGAAACGCGAACUUCGGUUCAAAUUUCACUUCGGAUUAGUGGCAGACGGGUGAGUAACGCGUGAGCAACCUACCUCUUACAAAGGGAUAGCCUCGGGAAACCGUGAUUAAUACCAUAUGACACAUUCAUAAGGCAUCUUAAGAAUGUUAAAGCUACGGCGGUAAGAGAUGGGCUCGCGUCCCAUUAGCUAGUUGGUGAGGUAACGGCCCACCAAGGCGACGAUGGGUAACCGGCCUGAGAGGGUGAACGGUCACAUUGGAACUGAGACACGGUCCAAACUCCUACGGGAGGCAGCAGUGGGGAAUAUUGCACAAUGGAGGGAACUCUGAUGCAGCGACGCCGCGUGAGCGAUGAAGGAAUUCGUUUCGUAAAGCUCUGUUCUAUGGGAAGAAAAGGACGGUACCAUAGGAGAAAGCCCCGGCUAAAUACGUG
rnacentral:rRNA from 1 species